UGGGGAAUAUUGGACAAUGGGCGCAAGCCUGAUCCAGCAAUUCCGCGUGUGUGAAGAAGGCCUUCGGGUUGUAAAGCACUUUAAGCAGGGAAGAAAAAGCUUGGCCACACCAAGCCUUGACGGUACCUGAAGAAUAAGCACCGGCUAACUCUGUGCCAGCAGCCGCGGUAAUACAGAGGGUGCGAGCGUUAAUCGGAUUUACUGGGCGUAAAGGGUGCGUAGGUGGUUAGAUAAGUCGGAUGUGAAAUCCUCGGGCUCAACCUGAGAACUGCAUUCGAUACUGUUUGACUAGAGAUCGGUAGAGGGUGGCGGAAUUCCCGGUGUAGCAGUGAAAUGCGUAGAUAUCGGGAGGAACAUCAAUGGCGAAGGCAGCCACCUGGGCCUGAUCUGACACUGAGGC
rnacentral:rRNA from 1 species